UACGGAAGGGGCAAGCGUUGUUCGGAAUCAUUGGGCGUAAAGGGCGCGUAGGUGGUUCUGUAUGUCUACCGUGAAAGCGUACGGCUCAACCGUAUUUUGUCGGUAGAAACUGCAGGACUUGAGGCUGGGAGGGGCUGGUGGAAUUCCCUGUGUAGCGGUGAAAUGCGUAGAUAUCUGGAGGAACACCGGUGGCGAAGGCGGCGUCCUGGACCAACACUGACACUGAUGAGCGAAAGCCAGGGGAGCAAACGGG
rnacentral:rRNA from 1 species